rnacentral:lncRNA from 1 species
ACACGAAGCUCAGAAUUCUGAGUGUAUUCAAUUACUUCCAAAUGAAAAAAAUGGUAAUUGAUCCAUGGUCGAUUCAGUAAUAGAUAAAUAGAAAUUUCUCUCCGUAACCACUUACAACCCAAGUGCCACCUGGAGAAAAAAAAGAAACCCAUUCUCGAUCUCCCCCCUCCUCUCUUGAGUCCACGUCUCUCCCCCUCCCCGUUGUCCCCUCUGAUACGUGAGUACCGGAGAGGAUGCUCUGA